GGAAGACAGAAUUUGAAAGAGUGGUUGAGGGCUUGUUCAUAAAAUCUGCUAAGAGGACUGUGUGGGUUAUGGUGCAUUGGUCAGCUAUUGUCUCCAACACUUGCAGCGCCUGGGAAUGGCAUUUAGAAGAGUGGCUUUCGCUUGCAACAACUCAGAGAAAUCAACUUCAAAAACGUCACUUUCCUUCAAGCAACUUAAUCUGUUGCCGUGGUUAUCUAUCAUUAACUAGCGUUUUAGCCCUCUCCCCCACUGCAACCCCACCAAAGACGAAAGAGGAAAAAAGAGAGAGAGAACACAAGAAAAAUAAAAAAGGACUACGCACUUUUCUUAGAUAUCAAUGUGUGAGAUUCUAAUUUCACUACUUCCCUUAUUUUUCAGUUCUAACAUGCCUAGUGCCAACCCUGAUUAGGACUCGUUUUGCUUGAAAGAAAAACAGGGUCGUUAUUUGUGCUAUGUUGGCUAUGGCUAUCUUCUACUGCUAUGGUUGGGACCCUCUUAAUGCAGUAUGAAGUUUAACUAAUUGCAGCUUCUGGGAGUUGAACCAACCUGCACCAAGGAGAACGACCUGUGAAUCUCUGCCAUUGAUGGAUGUCAGAGCACCUUCAAUUUUUGAAUCAAACCAGAGAGUGCGAACAGCAAGAAUCACUCCAGAAAUCUCUCUUGCAUUGUUGCUUCGAUCUUUCUUUAUUUUCUCAUGAAGGUUUCUUAGGCAUGCUUCUCCAGCCAGUAACUCAGCCAGUGGAUCAUGGAUCACGUGCUUCCAAAGCGCUCUUCCUGCUGCCAUUUGACAUGCCGAGCGUUGGAGGUAAUCCCAUUCAGCCUCAAUUCUGGCAUGGAUUUCACGUACACUGUCUACCAAUAACAAAUCUGGAAGUUUUAGCUCAGACCAUCCUGGGUUGUCUGGCCAACCAUUCUCUUUAUCAGUCAUGCUUCGAUUAUAAAACGGGCUGUUAGAAAUGAUAAGAAAUAGGGAAGCAGAUAAUGCGUUCUGUUUUUGUAGGAACAAGGUGUGCGCAAGGAAAAAGAGCAGGAUUUUAUGGAAUGGGAUAAGGAAAGAGAGCCACAACAACCAAUGCUUAAAAAAAAAAGCUCAAUUUAAUGAUAAGGGAGAAAGAGAAGAGGAAGAGGGCUCCACUAAAAAAGACGCGCGAUCACAUUUGAGUGGCUCAUAGCUCGGAUAUUGAAAUUGGCAUACUACUUCAGUAAUACCUGGUACCUUUGUUUUUAUUCAUUUACAUGGCAAAUGUUUUUCUGAUUCUGAUUCUUCUGCACGUGGCCGUUGAUUCUCCAUUCCUUUAAGGCCUGUUUGGCCCUCAGAGAUAGAUAUUUUUCCGUAGUUCUGGCUGAAGGCAAGGUAUUGAUUGGUUUGUUAUUGGGCCAUCCUAUUCUGGGCGAAGGGAUAUUGGAUAUCGCUUAAGAUCUUACCUCUCUAGUUUGUAUUCGAAGUUGGAUAAUUAAAAAAUUUCAUGUGGAGUAUAAAAAUUUGAAUCUCCAGAUGGAGGAGGAAGCCAGGUGUUUUCUUUUUGAAGUACUUAGUUGGAUUAGUUUAGGUUUUGAUCCAACCGAUUAUUUACCUACAUGUGUAUAAGUGUAUGUAGUUAUUUAUUUAUUUAAGAUUGAUUGAUAACUUCAUUUCACUUGUUAAUGUUUAAAAGCAUUCUUUAAUUUGUAGUU